rnacentral:misc_RNA from 2 species
GAAAUGCGAUAACUAAUGUGAAUUGCAGAAUUCAGUGAAUCAUCGAGUCUUUGAACGCACAUUGCGCCCCCUGGUAUUCCGGGGGGCAUGCCUGUCCGAGCGUCAUUGCUGCCCUCAAGCCCGGCUUGUGUGUUGGGCCCUCGUCCCCCGGCUCCCGGGGGACGGGCCCGAAAGGCAGCGGCGGCACCGCGUCCGGUCCUCGAGCGUAUGGGGCUUCGUCUUCCGCUCCGUAGGCCCGGCCGGCGCCCGCCGACGCAUUUAUUUGCAACUUGUUUUUUUCCAGGUUGACCUCGGAUCAGGUAGGGAUACCCGCUGAACUUAA